rnacentral:rRNA from 1 species
GAAGGAUCAUUACCGAAUUGUCAACACGAGUUGUUGCUGGUCCUCAAAUGGGGGCAUGUGCACGCUCUGUUUGCACAUCCACUCACACCUGUGCACCCUCCGUAGUUCUGCAGCCUGGGGGCUCUGUCCCCCUGCUGUGGUUCUAUGUAUUUACACACACACACUGUAAUAAAGUCUCAUGGAAUGUAUGCCGCGUUUAACGCAAUACAAUACAACUUUCAGCAACGGAUCUCUUGGCUCUCGCAUCGAUGAAGAACGCAGCGAAAUGCGAUAAGUAAUGUGAAUUGCAGAAUUCAGUGAAUCAUCGAAUCUUUGAACGCACCUUGCACCCUUUGGCUAUUCCGAAGGGUAUGCCUGUUUGAGUAUCAUGAACACCUCAACUCUCAUGGUUUGCCAUGAUGAGCUUGGACUUUGGGGGUCUUGCUGGCCUGUGGUCAGCUCCUCUCAAAUGGAUUAGCUUGCCAGUGUUUGGUGGCAUCACAGGUGUGAUAACUAUCUACGCUUGUGGUUUUCCACCAGGUAACCUUCAGCAAUGGGGGUUCGCUGGGGCUCAUAAAUGUCUCUCCUCAGUGAGGACAGCUCUUUGAACGUUUGAUCUCAAAUCAGGUAGGACUACCCGCUGAACUUAA